AGUCGAGCGAGUCUGCCUUGAGAUCGGAGUGCUUGCACUCUGUGAAACAAGAUACAGGCUAGCGGCGGACGGGUGAGUAACACGUGGGUAACCUGCCCAAGAGAUCGGGAUAACACCUGGAAACAGAUGCUAAUACCGGAUAACAACAGAUGAUGCCUAUCAACUGUUUAAAAGAUGGUUCUGCUAUCACUCUUGGAUGGACCUGCGGUGCAUUAGCUAGUUGGUAGGGUAACGGCCUACCAAGGCGAUGAUGCAUAGCCGAGUUGAGAGACUGAUCGGCCACAUUGGGACUGAGACACGGCCCAAACUCCUACGGGAGGCAGCAGUAGGGAAUCUUCCACAAUGGACGCAAGUCUGAUGGAGCAACGCCGCGUGAGUGAAGAAGGGUUUCGGCUCGUAAAGCUCUGUUGUUGGUGAAGAAGGACAGGGGUAGUAACUGACCUUUGUUUGACGGUAAUCAAUUAGAAAGUCACGGCUAACUACGUGCCAGCAGCCGCGGUAAUACGUAGGUGGCAAGCGUUGUCCGGAUUUAUUGGGCGUAAAGCGAGUGCAGGCGGCUCGAUAAGUCUGAUGUGAAAGCCUUCGGCUCAACCGGAGAAUUGCAUCAGAAACUGUCGAGCUUGAGUACAGAAGAGGAGAGUGGAACUCCAUGUGUAGCGGUGAAAUGCGUAGAUAUAUGGAAGAACACCGGUGGCGAAGGCGGCUCUCUGGUCUGUUACUGACGCUGAGGCUCGAAAGCAUGGGUAGCGAACAGGAUUAGAUACCCUGGUAGUCCAUGCCGUANACGAUGAGUGCUAAGUGUUGGGAGGUUUCCGCCUCUCAGUGCUGCAGCUAACGCAUUAAGCACUCCGCCUGGGGAGUACGACCCGCAGGUUGAAACUCAAAGGAAUUGACGGGGGCCCGCACAAGCGGUGGAGCAUGUGGUUUA
rnacentral:rRNA from 1 species